rnacentral:rRNA from 1 species
UGAACGCUAGCGGGAGGCUUAACACAUGCACGCCGAGGGGUAUAGUUCUUUCGGGAACUAGAGACCGGCGCACGGGUGCGUAACGCGUAUGCAACUUGCCCUACUGAAAAGGAUAGCCCUUCGAAAGGAGGAUUAAUACUUUAUAACAGAUUUAAUGGCAUCAUUAGAUUUUGAAAGAUUUAUCGCAGUAGGAUAGGCAUGCGUAAGAUUAGUUAGUUGGUGAGGUAACGGCUCACCAAGACGAUGAUCUUUAGGGGGCCUGAGAGGGUGAACCCCCACACUGGUACUGAGACACGGACCAGACUCCUACGGGAGGCAGCAGUGAGGAAUAUUGGACAAUGGGUGGAAGCCUGAUCCAGCCAUCCCGCGUGUAGGAUGACGGCCUUAUGGGUUGUAAACUACUUUUAUCUGGGGAUAAACCUACUUACGUGUAAGUAGCUGAAGGUACCAGAAGAAUAAGCACCGGCUAACUCCGUG